GACGAACGCUGGCGGCGUGCUUAACACAUGCAAGUCGAACGGAAAGGCCCUGCUUUUGUGGGGUGCUCGAGUGGCGAACGGGUGAGUAACACGUGAGUAACCUGCCCUUGACUUUGGGAUAACUUCAGGAAACUGGGGCUAAUACCGGAUAGGAGCUCCUGCUGCAUGGUGGGGGUUGGAAAGUUUCGGCGGUUGGGGAUGGACUCGCGGCUUAUCAGCUUGUUGGUGGGGUAGUGGCUUACCAAGGCUUUGACGGGUAGCCGGCCUGAGAGGGUGACCGGCGACAUUGGGACUGAGAUACGGCGCAGACUCCAACGGGAGGCAGCAGGGGGGAGCAUGGCGCAGUGGGGGGAAGUGUGAGACAGCAGCGCCGCGUGCGGGAUGACGGCUUUCGAGGUGUAAACCGAUUUCGACUGAGACGAAGCGUGAUUGACGGUAAUGGGUAAAGAAGCACCGGCUAACUACGUG
rnacentral:rRNA from 1 species